rnacentral:rRNA from 1 species
UACGGGGGGGGCAAGCGUUGUUCGGAAUUACUGGGCGUAAAGGGUUCGUAGGUGGCCAACUAAGUCAGACGUGAAAUCCCUCGGCUCAACCGGGGAACUGCGUCUGAGACUGGAAGGCUUGAAUCCGGGAGAGGGAUGUGGAAUUCCAGGUGUAGCGGUGAAAUGCGUAGAUAUCUGGAGGAACACCGGUGGCGAAGGCGGCAUCCUGGACCGGUAUUGACGCUGAGGCGCGAAAGCCAGGGGAGCAAACGGG